rnacentral:rRNA from 1 species
UACGGAGGGGGCGAGCGUUAUUCGGAAUUAUUGGGCGUAAAGGGCGCGUAGGCGGCUGUACAAGUCAAAGGUGAAAUCCCUCGGCUCAACUGAGGAACUGCCUUUGAAACUGUACGCUUGAGGCCGGGAGGGGGUAGCGGAAUUCCCAAUGUAGCGGUGAAAUGCGUAGAUAUUGGGAGGAACACCAGUGGCGAAGGCGGCUACCUGGACCGGUUCUGACGCUGAUGCGCGAAAGCGUGGGUAGCAAACAGG